rnacentral:rRNA from 1 species
GAGAGAGAGACAUGCGCGCAUAUCAAUAAGCGGGAGGAAAAGAAACUAACAAGGAUUCCCUUAGUAACGGCGAGUGAAGCGGGAAGAGCUCAAAUUUGAAAUCUUCAAGGUUUUACCUUGACGAAUUGUAGUUUAAAGAAGUGUUUUCUGCUGAAGUUUUGGUAAAAGUUCUUUGGAAUAGGACAUCAUAGAGGGUGAGAAUCCCGUAUUUGACCAUUAUUUUCAGCUUUGUGAUACACUUUCAAAGAGUCGGAUUGUUUGGGAAUGCAGUCCAAAAUGGGUGGUAAAUUUCAUCUAAAGCUAAAUAUUGGCGAGAGACCGAUAGCGAACAAGUACCGUGAGGGAAAGAUGAAAAGAACUUUGAAAAGAGAGUUAAACAGUACGUGAAAUUGUCAAAAGGGAAGCGUUUGACACCAGUGUUGUUUUCCUCGAAAAUCAAUUAAAAAUGGCUCGAUUUUGUAUUGUUGAGACCUUAAAAGCUCACUGUACAUUUUUCGUGUCUUUCUUAAUGCACUUUUCGUUUAACAAGUCAACAUCAGUUUCUUUUGUUGUAAAAGGGUCAUUGGAAGGUGGCAUUCUUUUCGGAGAAAGUGUUUAUAGCCUUUGGCCUCUGCAAUCGGAGAGACUGAGGUCUGCAGCGUAGACUCUUCGGGGUUAGAUACAUUUGUGCUAAGUUAUAGCUUUUUAUAGACAACUUGUUGACUAUAAUUAGUCUUGUAGCUUACUCGCUUAUGCUAUUUUACCUACGCUUAGGAUGUUGAAGUCAUCGUAUCGCGC